CCCAGACUCCUACGGGAGGCAGAAGUGGGGAAUAUUGCACAAUAGGCGGAAGCCUGAUGGAGCGACGCCACGUGAGGGAUGACGGCCUUCGGGUUGUAAACCUCUUUCAGCAGGGACGAAGCGUAAGUGACGGUACCGGCAGGAGAAGGGCCGGCCAACUACGUGCCAGCAGACGCGGUAAGACGUAGGGGGCGAGCGUUGUGCGGAUUUAUUGGGCAUAAAGAGCUCGUAGGCGGCUUGUCGCGUCGACUGUGAAAACCCGCAGCUCAACUGCAGGCCUGCAGCCGAUACGGGCAGGGAAGAGUUCGGUAGGGGAGACUGGAAUUCCUGGUGUAGCGGUGAAAUGCGCAAAUAUCAGGAGGAACACCGGUGGCGAAGGCGGGUCUCUGGGCCGAUACUGACGCUGAGGAGCGAAAGCGUGGGGAGCGAACAGGAUUAGAUACCCUGGUAAUCCACGCUGUAAACGUUGGGCGCUAGGUGUGGGGGGCCUCUCCGGUUCCCUGUGCCGCAGCUAACGCAUUAAGCGCCCCGCCUGGGGAGUACGGCCGCAAGGCUAAAACUCAAAGGAAUUGACGGGGGCCCGCACAAGCGGCGGGAGCAUGCGAAUUAAUUCGAUCCAACGCGAAGAAACCUUACCUGGGUUUGACAUGGCCCGCAAAAACGGUCAGAGAUGGCAGGUCCUUCGGGGGGCGGUCACAGGGGGGUGCAUGGCUGUCGUCAGCUCGUGUCGUGAGAAGUUUGGGGUAAAGUCCCGCAACAAGCGCAACCCCUCGUUUCGAA
rnacentral:rRNA from 1 species